rnacentral:rRNA from 1 species
UACGUAGGCAGCAAGCGUUGUUCGGAGUUACUGGGCGUAAAGGGUGCGUAGGCGGCCUUCUAAGUUUGGUGUGAAAUCUCCCGGCUCAACUGGGAGGGUGCGCCGAAUACUGAAGGGCUAGAGUGCGGGAGAGGAAAGUGGAAUUCCUGGUGUAGCGGUGAAAUGCGUAGAUAUCAGGAGGAACACCGGUGGUGUAGACGGCUUUCUGGACCGUAACUGACGCUGAGACACGAAAGCGUGGGUAGCAAACAGG